CUACAGUUCAGCCUUGUUUGUUAAAGCCAUUGCUUCAUGUCAAGGUUCUUGUGGUAGCGUCAGUUCUUUACUUACUUCUUUACUCUAUCCUUAAGAAAGGCAGCUGGAUACUACUAAUGUUGUGUGUGUUCCAUACAAGCGGCAAGCGAGUCCUGAGAAGCAGUGAAUAAUAUGAGGCAGAAGCAGCGAUUACCCAAGCACUGGUCUCAGCUGAGAAACAUUUUGGCACUUGCAGGAAGCAGCAACAGCAGAGUAGUGACCAAUGUAUUUCACAACUCUUGUACUUCUAGAUCAUGUUGCCUUUAGUACAGAGUGUGCUCUGCCAUCAUGAAACUUGACAGCUUCUGGUCUGAUGGUGAUCCUGUGGGGAUCUUGGAUUCCAGUAGAGAUAUGCACUUCCAGUCGACCUCUGUUCAGGAACACUGCAUAGUAAGCCUGCAAUGGACAUGUUGGUAUACAAAGGGUCAGUUUUCCUUCCCGUGUUCCUGCGCUUUCUCCUGGGGGGAACAACUGUGCCACUUGAGCCAAAUAAAAUGAUUCCAGACUCAUUCUUGGUGCUGAAGGAGAGGUUGA